AUGACUGUAAUGAUCAGAGAGCAAAACCUGGAGGCUCUGGGGUUCAGUAAUUAGGCCAAGUUCACGAAAAGCCAGGGGUAAGAUAAUUUUUUGUGUGUCUGCAUCUGCAGCCCAUUCCUGGACUAACCAUUUGAUCACUGUGGUUUUGCCACUACCUGCGACCCCAGACAGCAAGGCUACACCACCCCGUGAGUUAGCGAGCAAGCUCUGAUAGAUGUCGUUAUAAGAACAAGUCUCUCCUUGCCCUCUUGCCUCGGCCCUCCCUGCCCUAAAGGCAUCCCCGACAACUGAUGUCUCAUGCUGGAAAUGAACUGGCACUUGGCGUCCUGUCUGCUUAGAAAACGUAAUGUCCGUGAACCAGUCUACCUUGGAAAGUCCACAUGUUGAUCCGAGAUAAUUUCCUGGUGUGUGUUGCCUGGCCAAGAUAUCCUUGUGUCUUUGGAGAUGGUCACUCACAGGAUCUUUUACACUCAGGUUUGUGGUUCGAAUGAAGUUAGAAGCUUCGAAUUUGGACAACAGGAUCAGAAAUGCUUGACACGGUUCCUCUCCUCGUCCCUGCAGGACAUCCAGCAGCGUCCUCAUACAGUCUCGUUCACCUAAAAGUCCACCACCUUUUAUAAAACUGAGGUCCUCUUCGGUCACAGCCCCCAUUUCGAAGAGGCGCUCCAGGAGAGGGUUCAAGCGUUUGCUCCAGUUCUCCACCAGCUCCACACGGCGUCUUUGGAUCUCCAGACUGCAUGAUGCAACAGCCAUCAGACAACGUGGAGGACAAAAAUACCAUCGCUGAGGGAGCUGACAGAAAUGCCUAAAGGAGAAGGGUCGCAGGCAAGCUGGAACCUAUCCCAGCUGACUAUGGGCGAAAGGCGGGGUACACCCUGGACAAGUCGCCAGAAAAUAACACAAAUUGUGAAAAACGAGGUGGCUGCCAUGAUGUACUCCAUCCUUCAGUGAACGCAUACCUUCAUCUUCUCAUUGCCCAGACCCUGGAGCACUUUAGGAUUGAUAUCCUCCCCAUCUAAACAAACACACACAUGCUAGAAUGUUAUAAUACACCGCAGACAAAAAAAAGAUCUAUCCCACAGUAUACGAAUGGAUUUUGGACAAUUUGCUAUACAUUCAAUUUUACCCUUGUUUAAAUGCACUUUAUUCUUUAGAAAUUCACAUAAAUGUACUGAACAACUCAUGAAAACUCUCAUAACAUGAAAAUGCAAACAUGUAAAAACACUUCCUGCAUUUGGUUAUUUGAGCUACGAGUUAGAAAUAAUUGCUAUAAUAUUAUAAUAUGCAUCUGCCAGCAAUAAUCUCCAUCUACAAAAAUCAAAUUGUAAUAAAAAUAGUUGUAAUAAAUAUUAUUUACCUACAGGCAAAACUGGGAUCAGCUGAAAGCUGAGAAUUUGCUAUUUCAACCAUAAAUAAAUCGGCACAGAGAAACACUUACUGAGCCUUGUUCCUACAAACAGCUUGGCGACACUCUGAGGGUAGUUGUCUUUCUUGUCCUUAAAUAUUUCACUGGCCACCGACUUCUGCUCCAACUACAAGGAAAAGGAAAGAUGCUCAUAUUUUGUACACACAAAAUGAGGAAAGUGCCAUGCUGAAUUUUGGAAAAUCCUCUAUGAAUUGUAAAGCAGUAAUGAAUCUGUACUCUACCUGAUGCUUCCAUUCUGGGUUGAUGCUCUUGCAGUACUUCCACACCAUGUUCUGCAUACACAGCUUGCGGAGGUGCUCUGAUGCCUGGUGUAUGACAAAAUACCGUCAUACAUCAAUAUCUACUCCAUACCAUAUCCAGUAUUAUUAGAUAUGCAGGACACUUUUUCGAUGGAAUAAAAACAUGUGUUCUAUUCCCUUCUAGUGGGUUUCAUUCAUUUGGUUUGAUAGCAUGCAAUAUUGUUAGUGUAUCGCUUAUCCUACAUGUAUUAUGUCACUCUACCCAAUGGAGAAUGAGCACUGAAUAUAGUUUAUGAUAUUGCAUGGUUGUCAAGACAACAUGUCACACAUUGAAGCUGAUGCAAAUAUCCAAUGAGAGAGUUUUCUGUAGCAUCUCUUUGUUCGCCAGCAGCACCUGCAGUAAACUGUCGCAGUGAAUUGAAAAUGCCGUGAGAUAUUACACGUAAAACUUCUGCGCGAAUGAGCGACCGUGAAAAUUUGUAAACAAACAUGGCCGCCAGGUUUGUUCCAUCAAAUGUGUAUGUAUUAUAAUAAUAAUAAUAAUAAUAAUAAUAAUAUUGGCUGGCUUUUUUCAUGGUAUAUCAGAUAUAUUCCAUUCAGCUAGCAUGAUACUGAACUCGUCUUAAUAUCAUGCUAGCUGAAUGGAAUAUAUUUGAUAUACCACCAAAAAAAAAAAGCCAGCCAAUAUUAUUUAAAUAAUAAGUGAGGGUUAAUAGCACAUGGAGUCAAACCUCAGUCAGGGCAGGGGGUGGUGUAGGCCAGCUCUUGUCCAGUACUGAUUUCGGCAAACUCCUGUGUAGCUUCAUGAGGAAUGAGUAGCGUACGUAGUCAAGGAAGAAUUCGUUCUCAGGACAGCGUGGCUGGUGGCGGUACAUGAAUCCUUUAAUGAAUCUAUAAGAAAAGGAAGACCUCUGAAUCAAAACAAAUCCUAGCUACAAAUGUUUGUAGUAUAGUUGUGAUAAUAAUAAACAGAUACUGUAAUUGCAUAUGAAUCUCACGAUAAUGUUUAUGUAUCACAGCGUUGUUGAAUUCUCAAUUCUGAUUGGUCAGAAGGCGCUGAUUAAUUUUCUACAACAGCAGCUCUGACAGUAGUGCCAGUUGCAAGGAUUAUAAUCAUUUAUAUAAACUGUUCUUUUUUUUUUUUUUUAAGAUAUUUUUUUGGGCUUUUUGCACCUUUAUUGGAUAGGACAGUGUAGAGACAGGAAAUGAGCGGGAGAGAGAGACGGGAAGGGAUCGGGAAAUGACCUCGGGCCGGAAUCGAACCCGGGUCGCCCGCAUUCAUGGUAUGGCGCCUUAACCACCUGAGCCACGACGCCCCCUUAUAUAAACUGUUCUAAUACUGUAUGUUAUUGUUUCUGUAGCAACAAUGCACAUAGGGACUUGUAUAGCCGAUGCACCAUAUUAAAAAUUAGAAAAGUAGGUAAUUUUU